AAUGAACGUUGGCGGCAUGGAUUAAGCAUGCAAGUCGAGCGAGAAGGGUUUUGAAGCUUGCUUUAGAACCCGGACAGCGGCGAAAGGGAGAGUAACGCGUAGUUAUGUGCCCUAGGGUCCGGAAUAGCCGCGGGAAACUGUGGGUAAUGCCGGAUAAUAUCCCCGGAUCAAAGGUGUGAUUCCGCCCUAGGAGCAGACUGCGUCCUACUAGCUAGUUGGUGGGGUAAGGGCCCACCAAGGCAAAGAUGGGUAGCGGGUGUGAGAGCAUGACCCGUCUCACUGGGACUGAGACACUGACCAGACACCUACGGGUGGCUGCAGUCGAGAAUCUUCGGCAAUGGGCGAAAGCCUGACCGAGCGAUGCCGCGUGCGGGAUGAAGGCCCUCGGGUUGUAAACCGCUGUCGUAGGGGAGGAAGAUUUCGUGAAGAGCGAAAUUUGACCUAUCCUAGGAGGAAGUACGGGCUAAGUUCGUGCCAGCAGCCGCGGUAA
rnacentral:rRNA from 1 species